rnacentral:rRNA from 1 species
UACGUAGGGUGCAAGCGUUAUCCGGAAUUAUUGGGCGUAAAGAGCUCGUAGGCGGUUUUGUCGCGUCUGCCGUGAAAGUCCGGGGCUCAACUCCGGAUCUGCGGUGGGUACGGGCAGACUAGAGUGAUGUAGGGGAGACUGGAAUUCCUGGUGUAGGCGGUGAAAAUGCGCAGAUAUCAGGAGGAACACCGAUGGCGAAGGCAGGUCUCUGGGCAUUAACUGACGCUGAGGAGCGAAAGCAUGGGGAGCGAACAGG